AUGCAGCCUGUGCAGUUCCGGGAGAAAGUCACUGUCUUGGGCAAUGCGGUCUGGUAUCAGGUCUGGAUGAUCCUUGCCUGACUGCGGGUUUGUGUACACCUCAAUCCGACUCUGUGUCCUGAACAGAGGCCGCAGUGGUGCAGCGCUUGUGGACGAUCCAUCAACAUCCUGAAAGGUCAACACUACACCAAGCUGGGAAAAUUGAUCCUGAUAGUCAUCCCCAGGCCUGACCGUUUGUCCUUGAGCCGUAGAUGGUCAACAAUCCGCUAGCUGUCUUGCUCUGACUGGUGCACUGGACAUGAUUUCAAUUGUCAGCCAGACCAUGAUUGAGCUUAAGGGUUGUGCUGCGGAUGCAGCCUGUGCAGUUCCGGGAGAAAGUCACUGUCUUGGGCAAUGCGGUCUGGUAUCAGGUCUGGAUGAUCCUUGCCUGACUGCGGGUUUGUGUACACCUCAAUCCGACUCUGUGUCCUGAACAGAGGCCGCAGUGGUGCAGCGCUUGUGGACGAUCCAUCAACAUCCUGAAAGGUCAACACUACACCAAGCUGGGAAAAUUGAUCCUGAUAGUCAUCCCCAGGCCUGACCGUUUGUCCUUGAGCCGUAGAUGGUCAACAAUCCGCUAGCUGUCUUGCUCUGACUGGUGCACUGGACAUGAUUUCAAUUGUCAGCCAGACCAUGAUUGAGCUUAAGGGUUGUGCUGCGGAUGCAGCCUGUGCAGUUCCGGGAGAAAGUCACUGUCUUGGGCAAUGCGGUCUGGUAUCAGGUCUGGAUGAUCCUUGCCUGACUGCGGGUUUGUGUACACCUCAAUCCGACUCUGUGUCCUGAACAGAGGCCGCAGUGGUGCAGCGCUUGUGGACGAUCCAUCAACAUCCUGAAAGGUCAACACUACACCAAGCUGGGAAAAUUGAUCCUGAUAGUCAUCCCCAGGUAGUGGAAUGAAUGUUCACUGAACUACAGAGGAAUCACACCCAAAUGACUUUCCUGCCACGACAUAAGUGUGGCCACUCGCGUAGGAAUUCCUUAGCAAACAUGCUCUUUUGCAUGGUGACUGUGGACAUUUUUGCAAAACUUACGCUUUCAACACUGGAUUUUAAAGAGAAUACUUAAUAAAAUGUCGCUAACAGGA